UCGAUGAAGAACGCAGCGAAAUGCGAUACGUGGUGUGAAUUGCAGAAUCCCGCGAACCAUCGAAUCUUUGAACGCAAGUUGCGCCCGAGGCCGCUGGGCCGAGGGCACGCCUGCCUGGGCGUCACGC
rnacentral:rRNA from 1 species